rnacentral:ribozyme from 1 species
GGAAGGAGAGAAAGAAAUAAAAGGAAGAAAGAAAGAAAGGUCGUGUGUGUCUCGCUUCUUGCUCGUUCGUGCAUUCGUCCCCUUCCUUCUUGUUUCUAUCU